rnacentral:tRNA from 1 species
GCCUGGGUGGCUCAGUCGGUUAAGCGUCCGAUUUCAGCUCCGGUCAUGAUCUCACGGUUCGUGGGUUCGAGCCCCGCAUCGGGCU